GACGGUUUGGCCGAGUGGUUUAAGGCGCCAGAUUUAGGCUCUGGUUCGUAAGUGCGUGGGUUCAAAUUCCACAGUCGUCA
rnacentral:tRNA from 1 species